GGAGCAUGUGGUUCAAUUCGACGAUAACCGAGGAACCUUACCAGGGCUUGACAUGUAGCUGCAAAUCUUAGGAAACUAGGAUGCCUUCGAGGGUGCUACACAGGUGCUGCAUGGUUGCCGUCAGCUCGUGCCGUGAGGUGUAUCAUUAAGUUGAGCAACGAGCGCAACCCCCAUGUUGUGUUAAAUUGUACACAACAGACCGCCCUGCCCCUAAUGCAUUUUUAAUUAAGUGCGUUAAGGGCAGGGAGGAAGGAGGGGAUGACGUCAAAUCAGCAUGGCUCUUACGUCCUGGGCCACACACGUGCUACAAUGGGUAGUAACAAUGGGUUGCCAAAUCGCAAGAUGGAGCUAAUCCCACCAAACCUACCCCUAGUUCAGAUUGAGGGCUGCAACUCGCCCUCAUGAAGCAGGAAUCGCUAGUAAACGCCGAUCAGCCACGCGGCGUUGAAUACGUUCUCGGGUCUUGUACUCACCGCCCGUCAAGCCAAGGGAGUCGGAGGCGCCCGAAUUCCGAGCAAUCGGGAGAAGGCGAAGCCGAUGACAGGGGCUAAGUCGUA
rnacentral:rRNA from 1 species